AGGAAAAUGGAAAAAGAACUGCGAGGACUGUUUAUUGAGGAACAGUAGAGGCACAGACCUUCCCAUGGAAUUGGAGGUUGUGCUGCUAACUGGAUUUGGGAGUGGGCUUAUAUAGGGUUUAACAAGGAAAUAGAAGACAGAAAAUAGGUUGUCUUCUAGGGUGAUGUCUUUGACCAGCCCCACAGUGGAAUGCUCCACCUGGGGUGAGGGGCUAUUGUCCCUUGGGGACCAAGGGUGGUGUCCUUGGCUCAGCCCAGAUUGGAACUGCCUGCUGACAGGCUUGUGAUCAAGCCUGUUUUCUUGCUUGACCUUGGGAAUGAGGCAGGAAUCAAUC